CACGCCCUAAACGAUGCGAACUGGAUGUUGGGCUCAACUUGGAGCUCAGUAUCGAAGCUAACGCGUUAAGUUCGCCGCCUGGGGAGUACGGUCGCAAGACUGAAACUCAAAGGAAUUGACGGGGGCCCGCACAAGCGGUGGAGUAUGUGGUUUAAUUCGAUGCAACGCGAAGAACCUUACCUGGCCUUGACAUGUCUGGAAUCCUUGAGAGAUCGAGGAGUGCCUUCGGGAACCAGAACACAGGUGC
rnacentral:rRNA from 1 species